ACUCCUACGGGAGGCAGCAGUGGGGAAUAUUGCACAAUGGGCGCAAGCCUGAUGCAGCAACGCCGCGUGAGUGAUGAAGGUCUUCGGAUUGUAAAGCUCUGUCUUUUGGGACGAUAAUGACGGUACCAAAGGAGGAAGCCACGGCUAACUACGUGCCAGCAGCCGCGGUAAU
rnacentral:rRNA from 1 species